UACGUAGGGACCGAGCGUUGUCCGGAAUCAUUGGGCGUAAAGAGCGUGUAGGCGGCCACUUAAGUCCUGCGUGAAAUCUUGCGGCUCAACCGCAAGCGGUCGUGGGAAACUGGGUGGCUAGAGUGCGGGAGAGGAGAGUGGAAUUCCGUGGUGUAGCGGUGGAAUGCGCAGAUAUCAGGAAGAACACCCGUGGCGAAGGCGCUCUCUGGAACGCAACUGACGCUGAGACGCGAAAGCGUGGGGAGCAAACAGG
rnacentral:rRNA from 1 species